CAUAAUUAUAGAUUUUUUUUCAUUCAAUUUAACUACUAAUAAAAAAUAUAAAUAAUUAUAUAUACAACUGAAAAGGAAUUUAAUUUUAAAAUUUAAAAGUAAAUUUAAUGUACCUUUUGCAUAAGGGAUUUUUAAAAAAAAUUAAAAAUUUAUUAUUCUCGAAAUAAAUUGAUCUAAAAUAUAAUAUAUGAUUUAUUUUUCAUUAUGAAUUUUAAAUUUAUUUUAGAUGUGAAAUGCUUGUCAAAAUUUAAGAUAGCUAGUUUAUUAAAAAAAAUUUAAUAUUAUUCUAUAAUUAUUUUUUAAUUAAAACUUUUAUAGAUUAAAAUCUUAGGGAUAAGCUAAAGAUUAUAUUUUUAAAAAUUAAAACACCAAAAAAUAUAAGAAAUAUAAUUGUUCUUUGUAUUGUUAUAAAUAAAUUUAAAUAAUCGUGUACAUUUAAUUUAUUUUUAAUAAAAUAAAAAAUAAUAUUUAUUUCUAAAUAUGAAAAUAUUAGUAAAAUUAUUUAUUUGCUUAAAAAUUUAAUGUUUAUAAAUUUAAAUUAAAAUAAGUUUAAAUAAUUCGGCAAAAUUUUUCUUUGACUGUUUAAUAAAAACAACUUAUUCAGAAAGAUUCAUUUUAUUGAAUAUAAAUCCUGCUCAAUGAAGAUUUUAAAUUGCUGUAGUAUUUUGACUAUACAAAGGUAUUGUAAUAAGAUUUUAAUUGAAUGCUAAGAGAAUGGAACUACAAGGAACAACUAUUUUAAACUUAAAAAUUAAAGUUAUUUUAAUUUGUGCAGAAACAAUUAUUAAAAUUAAGGACAAGAAGACCCUAAGAAUUUUAAAAUUAUUAAUUAUUAAAUAUUUAAUAGUUAAUAAUUUUUGGUUGGGGCAACUAAAAAAUAUUAUAAACUUUUUUUUUAAUAAAAUGACCCAUUAUUAAUGAUAAUUUGGAAAAAAUACUCUAGGGAUAACAGCGUAAUAAUUUUUGAUAGAACAUAUAGACAAAAUAGUUUGCGACCUCGAUGUUGGAUUAGGAUUCUUUUUUAAUGAAGAUGUUAAAAAAAGAAGUUUGUUCAACUUUUGAAGUCCUACAUGAUCUGAGUUUAGACCGAUGAGAAUCAGGUUGGUUUCUAUCUUAAUUAAUAUAAAUUUUUGGUUAGUACGAAAGGAAUUCCAAAAUUUAAUUUAUUUAACUAAAAACAAUU
rnacentral:rRNA from 1 species